rnacentral:rRNA from 1 species
AGAGUUUGAUCCUGGCUCAGGACGAACGCUGGCGGCGUGCCUAACACAUGCAAGUCGAGCGGGGAACCCCUUCGGGGGUUUUCAGCGGCGGACGGGUGAGUAACNAACGCUUGAGCAACCUGACCCUUAGAGGGGGAUAACACUCGGAAACGAGUGCUAAUACCGCAUAAGACCACGACAUGGCAUCAUGACGAGGUCAAAGGAGCAAUCCGCUGAGAGAGGGGCUCGCGUCCCAUUAGAUAGAUGGCGGGGUAACGGCCCACCAAGACGAUGAUGCGUAGCCGACCUGAGAGGGUGAUCGGCCACACUGGGACUGAGACACGGCCCAGACUCCUACGGGAGGCAGCAGUGGGGAAUAUUGGGCAAUGGGCGCAAGCCUGACCCAGCAACGCCGCGUGAGGGAAGAAGGCUUUCGGGUUGUAAACCUCUGUCCUUGGUGACGAAAAAAAUGACGGUAGCCAAGGAGGAAGCCCCGGCUAACUACGUGCCAGCAGCCGCGGUAAUACGUAGGGGGCAAGCGUUAUCCGGAAUUAUUGGGCGUAAAGGGUGCGUAGGCGGUUUGAUAAGUCUGAGGUGAAAGUUCGGGGCUCAACUGGAAAAAUGCCGUUGAUACUGUAUCGCUGGAAUAUGGUUGCUGUGAGUGGAAUGUGUAGUGUAGCGGUGAAAUGCUUAGAGAUGACACAGAACACCGACGGCGAAGGCAGGUUACCAACCCAUUACUGACGCUGAGGCACGAAAGCGUGGGGAUCAAACAGGAUUAGAUACCCUGGUAGUCCACGCCGUAAACUAUGAUUACUAGUUGUUGGCGAUACAUUGCCAGUGACUGAGCGAAAGCAUUAAGUAAUCCACCUGGGGAGUACGUUCGCAAGAAUGAAACUCAAAGGAAUUGACGGGGGCCCGCACAAGCGGAGGAACAUGUGGUUUAAUUCGAUGAUACGCGAGGAACCUUACCCGGGCUCGAACGGUGCAUGAAUAAUUCAGAGAUGGAUUAGUCCUUCGGGACAUGUAUCGAGGUGCUGCAUGGUUGUCGUCAGCUCGUGCCGUGAGGUGUCGGCUUAAGUGCCAUAACGAGCGCAACCCUUGUCGUUAGUUGCCAUCAAGUAAUGUUGGGGACUCUAGCGAGACUGCCACCGUAAGGUGUGAGGAAGGGGGGGAUGACGUCAAAUCAGCACGGCCCUUACGUCCGGGGCGACACACGUGUUACAAUGGUAGGUACAGAGGGCAGCUACCCAGUGAUGGGGUGCGAAUCUCAAAAACCUAUCUCAGUUCGGAUUGGAGUCUGCAACUCGACUCCAUGAAGUUGGAUUCGCUAGUAAUCGCGCAUCAGCCAUGGCGCGGUGAAUACGUUCCCGGGCCUUGUACACA